GUGCCUGCCUCGCUCAGAAAGGAUCAUCAGUGUGAAGUGGAAACCCAUGUUAGCAUUAGCCUAGUGAGACAAAGUCAGCUAAGGCUAGGACAGUCACAGGGUGGGGUCAGCUUUCCCCUACACCGAGGCACGGAGGACCACACAAGACAUGACGCUGUCUCAGAGAGGCAGGGUGGAAGAAAAGCCCAGGCCUCUGACUCUGCUGCUCACUUGUCUCUCCACAGCACCACCUCUCCCAUUUUGGAAACCUGGUCCGAAUGGCACCAUCCACCGGACAUUCCCCAAAUCAAGAUCAAAAGGGCCGGCUUGCAAGUGAACUCACCUGGAGCAGACAUAGAGCCUCCCUUAUGCCUUCCCCUUGCUCGGGUGGAAUAUCUAGAGCCCCACGAGGCCAAAACAGAUGGUGAGGGCCACAGCAGUCUGGAAGGCUUUCAUGGCUUUUGGUUGGGCAUUGGAAUCCCCCAAAUGGCCAGGAUGUCUUUUCUAUGCUCCGCAGGGAACUGGCAAGUGACUGACACUGCUGAGCUUUCCUCCUCCUAGCUCCGGCUCCAUGUCCAGAACACCAUGGGCCUGCUCUGCAGCCAGAGCCAGCACCAGAGAAGGAGCCUCCUCUGGAGACAGGAGAGAAGCAGAAGCCAGCUCCACAGCACUCCUGCCUCUCUGCUGCCGCUGACAAGGACAGGCCCUUGCAGAAGGUGCGCUUAGCCUUCUCUCCCAAGCUGCUGGCAGAGCAGCUGACCUUGAUGGGUUCGGUGAGCAGCUGAGCUCGGUGGGGUGGGGUGGGAUGGGGUGGGGGACACCCAUCCUUCUCGCACUGAUCUCCUCAGGCCUGACAUUCCCAGUUGACCAGAUCAAAGUUCCUGCUUCUACGAACUGCAUCACCUAUACUUGUCUCAGCCCCAAGCCACUCCUGUCCUUGGGUGGAGGUCGACAGUAGAGACAGGGCACUCACAUGCCCGCUUCACACAGUGACUGUGAUGUCAACUUCGAUUGGACAAUUGGGAAACACGGCGGGGACUCAGACCAACUGGCCGAGGAGGGUGUGCCCUGAGGUGCAGGCAGGACCAUGUGUCACCUUGCCAUCAUCCCAGGAGACCUGGCCAGCCUUAUCACUUUGUAGGCAUUUGAGAUUCAUGGGUUCUACAGCACACACCCACACAGAGCCCCCAGUCAUAGCUGUCCCAGGAAAUGUGCCACUGACCUGGGCAAAGGAGCAGAGGACAGGCACAACAGGCAUUGGGCUCUCCCAUCCCAACAGCAGCAUAUGCAUCCUUUUCAACUGGAAUAAAUUUUAAAUUGAUUUUUUAUAGUGUCUCCCAUAAUUCAUUCUUCCCUUAUGCCCGAAUUUGGGACCCAUAUCACUUAACCACAUUUCAGGCUAAAAGUAAGAAAUAAAUUUGAAAGCCUUAAGUAACAAAAAGCUGGUUUGUUUGUUCAAUUCUGACAUCUGACUUCAGGAAGGAUUAAAAAACUUCCAGCAUUCACUGUGUUGUUCUCCUUCCUCAGACCUGGCUCCACUUCUGGGUUCUUAGGCAUACCUUCUCUUAUCUAUUCCAGGCUGCCCUCGGGCCGUAGCAGCUCUCAGAUGAUUUCCCAAGAUGAGAAGGCUCUCAUUUCCAUCAUUUCAAAUAACAUUCUUCACGUUCGUUCUGAUUGGGUUUGUGUAAAGGGUUUAUUCAUAACCAACCUGUAUAACCACAGAAAUGACUAUCCCCAUUGGGUUUAAUCCAAACAAAAUCCCCUCCCAAAUGUACACAAUGGAGGUCUUGGGUUGAAGGUGGAGGUGUUCUCCCAAAAUAAGCUGCGAUGUUCCUACAACUGUGCGUGACAAAAAGUGUCUGUUACAGGGUUCCAACUGUCCCUGGGCAUAAACGUACACAUCCCAUCCUCUUCCUCAGACAUUACGUUGCCUAAAUCCUCACCCAAUACAGUCCCAGCUUCCAUUCUUUGUUGCAUUUCUAAUUCAAACAUUUAGGUGUGAAACACAUGUCACGUACACACAUCCUUGACAUCCACACCUGAUUCGCUCUGAGAUCACCUAAGCUGAAAUAGCCCUGAUAGCCACACUCUUCUUGAUUAUCACUAUUCAAUGCUUCUGUGAAAUUGAUAUGGACUGCUGAUGCAGGUACAAGUGACCAAAAGAGAAACGAGGAAAGAAACACAGUUCAGAAACCCAUCUGUGCACUCGUUCCACAGUUAUAAAUACUUCAAGGACCAAACUACUACUGCAAACAAAACAGGGCAUUGGAGCAAAACAUUAAAAUAAAGACUCAUCAUCAGUACUAACUCCCAUUCUGUCCAUCAUAAUGUGCAUUACUGAAAAGAAAAUUGUCUUCAAUAAAUUGUAAGGUUUUAUGCUCUAAAUAUUUCAUAGAUUUCUUAUAACACUUCUAGAUCACUUAUCAGAAAUUGCAUCCUUUUAUGGAAACUACAGGUUAUGGAUUCUAUCUGGAUGUCACCCUCAAGCCCCUUGCACCCAGAGGCGAGGGCUUCCAGAGGGUGACUGGGUGAUGGGGGUGCUACGCCAGGCUUGGUGUCAGGAUGUGGGCCUGGUUGGAAGAGGUGGGUCAGCGCGGGUGUGACCUGGGAGGGUGUAUCUUGCUCCCUGGCCCACACUUUACCAUGUGCCUCCUGGCCUCCACCAGGCAAGCAGCAUUUCUAUCAAUGUGCACCUCUGACAUGCCAUCCUGCCAUCCUGGAACUAGCUAACUAUGAACUGAAAUGUGAGCUGAAACAAACCUCUCUUCCCUUAAUGUGUAGUGCUGAGUAUUGUGUUCAGGGACAAGAAAGUGGGUGAUACAGAUGUUGGUACAAGAAGUCUGCUGGUCACUGCAGCGACUGUACCUCACCAGGUGGUUCAGAGGCCUGUGGAAGUGGUCCACAGCAGUUUGGAAAGGUUUGGAGGUGCCAGCUGGGGAAGCAGCCCUAGAAUGCUAUCAUCUGAGCUUGAUGGAAGAUUCUGGUCCGAGCUCAGAAGACCAGAGUGCAGAGAGAUUGCAGAUGAGAAAGGCCAGACUUAGGAGGUUCCCGUUGAGAAGAAGGAUGCCAGUGGCAGCUGGAUCCAGGCCAUGUGUGUUGUGCUCCAGCAGAAAAUAGGACUGUAUUGUGUUCAUGUCCUGAGAUUUGUGUGAGACUGAUACGAAGGGUGGAAGGAUCAUUCAUCUGAUGGAGAAAAUAUCAAGGUAGCCUAAAUAUCAGGCCGUAGCAUGGAUGCUGCUUGCUACUUUGAGCCAGGUUUGUGCGGAAAAUGAGGAGCAAAAGCCCAUUUGAAAACUUUUCAGCCCCCCACCCCCACCCCCAAGAAAGGCCUGUAAAGAUGGAGCAAUGGACAGCCUGGUGGAUUAAAGAUUAGCAUUAAAAAGAAUCCAAGUACUUUACAAUAGGACAAUGGAAAAGAUGCCCUGAAGACAUAUAAGGAACCCACAAGGCCCAAGCUUUCCAAGGCUCACAGUUGCAAAAGGGAAAGACUUUGUUUUGAGAGGAGAGCCCCAGGGCACCCUGCUUGAGAAGGGCCACCUCGGCGGGUUCCCUGGGAUUCAUUCAGUUCACGGUGCUCAGCCAUCCAGGCCCAUGGAUGCUUCUGCAGCCACGAUGCACAAAGGCCUAAGGACUGCUUGGAGCCAGUGGUAGAACUUUGUGUCAUCUACAGGGUGCUGUUUUCACAGGUAUGCAGAACACAAGAGUUGAGUCAGGAAGGCUUCCGCCCAAAUUUCCAAAGAAGGCCUGGCAGGCCAGGCUGGGUGUCCCUGAGAGGGCAGAGCAUGCAGCUGUGAGAGUUCAGCCAAGGGUGCACUGGAGAACCCAGCAUGAGGGUGCAGUCAGGAACAUGGAACACCUGCAGAAAGCCACGCACCCAAACAUGUAACCCUCAUCUAAUCAGGAAGGAAACGUCAGGAAAACUUAAAUUGAGGGACAUUCUGUAAGAUAUCAGCUCAGUCAUCCUCCAAACUGUCAGCUCAUACAAAACGAAAAAAGGAAAACUUGUGAAAACGUCAGUCAAGGGGCGUCUGAGGGAUGCAACAAUGAAGUGCAAUGUGGCAGCCCGGACGGGACUGCAGAUUGUUGUGGAGAGCAAGUGGUGAAGGUGGAUCUUCGGUAGUAAUUAUACAUCGAUAUCUGCUCACUCCUUGUACAGGAUGUACUAGACUAAGGGAUGACAUUAAUAACAGGAAAUGGAAGAACUGGGUGGCCAUCUUAGUUGUAUAUAAAUCUAAAACUCGUCAUGUAUAUAAGCUGUACUACGAGUUGUUGUUGUUUUGGUAUUUUUGGUUUUUCCUUCUUUUGGUACCGGGGAUUGAACUCAGGACCUUGUGCUGGUGAGGCAGGCAUGGUGCCACUGAGCUAAAUCCCCGGCCCUUCAAGCUCUGUUAUGUACACGUAGCCACUCCUCAAAUGAUUGUGAACUGCACAAUAAAAAUAAACAACAAUGUAAACUGCAGGCCUAAUUUCUAACACUGAAUCUCCCACCCUCAGCCAUGAUAGAACCCUAAAUGUAUUCCUAAAACUCAAACAAAUCCCAACAAAAACCACAACCCAAACUGCACCUUGCCCCUUCGUCCUAAGCCACUUCCUCACACGAUAGCAAAUUGCAGUGUGUGGUCCUGGGCAGGGUCUUGGAUCAGGCAGAUAAACUGCCAUAAAAAAUCCCCAGUAUUGAAGUUCU
rnacentral:lncRNA from 1 species